CUCUAGGGCUGACCUAUAUAUUUUGUAUGUUUAUAUGUGACAGAAGUAAUUUGUGGUUGUGAAUAAACGAUUAUAACGAUAAUAUAUAUAAUAUAUGAAUGUCAAGUAAUAAAACUUACGAACUCGAAAUGCAGAUGUUUCAUCUAAUCUUUACAAAUCUACAAAAACAUAAUUCGAGAUUCGUUGUACUUAUAAACUAAUUAUCAACAACAAUUUUGCCGACGGAUAUUACCCUAUUUGAAGAUUACAAUUUCGAACUUCUCAAUAGGGCGCAUCUCGGGGAGCAACUUAGCGGAACGGCCGAUACAGUGGACCAAUUUUUGCAUUUUGUUUUUUUUUUUUCUGAUACCAAUGUUUUAUUGGAAUCAAAUGGAAGUUAAUUUGAACUAAUCACUAUUUGUGGUUAUAAAAAUAAUUUUCUUGUUUCCGAAAAAUUACAUCCGGACAUUUUUCUAGAUUUUUGAAAAAAUUGAGUAAAUUGGUUUUAUGAGCCAUGAGAGAAAUCGCUAUGCAACAUAUUUCAAUCAGUGCAGGUUAUAUUGAAAUUUGUGCUUCAAGCAAUUAAAUUGUAAUAAUUGACAUAUAUUUAAAGAUUUUACUAUCAGGACAUCUAAAAAAAAUUUUUUUUAAUUUGAUAUUUGCCUUUUUUACAAGAAGAAGCAACAUAUAAUCAUUAGCUGGUGUUUCUUUCGCUCUGCUUAAAUAAUGUAUGGUAUGAGAAAUGUGGGUUUGAAUUAAUUAUGUCACUUGAUUCACUGUAGUGAUCAACGGCACUCAUUUUCACUUAGAUCUUUGUCUUUCAAAGCAUACAGAUCAAAAUUUUAGAUUUUUUCAAUUUUAUGGAUGUGUUGGGUCUUCAUAUCUCCCGACAAUUUUGCCAAAUACUCAAUCUGUAUUUAAAAAAAUAUACAUUUUAAAAACCUCUAGCAACGCAUACAUACCAUAGUGGUGUACGGGCGCUUUUUUAUCACCUGGUCGGUCAGAAAUUAGUUGUUACCCAACUAAAAAGGAACUUUCAACAAAAUAGUUGAAUUCUCAAUCAAAAAUAUAAAUUUUCAAGGAAGAAGUUUUAUAUUUCUAACUAAA